GUUUUUUUUUUUUUUUUGGUUUGGCAAUAUUCUCGCUUAAAAUUAUCUCUAUUUUCUUGUAUGGUUGAUUUUUCAGUGGUUCAGAUUGCAGAAUUCAAAACUUUCUAUCAAUUAGCCAUUUUGUUUGUAUUGGAAGAAAAAAUGGAACUUGGAUUCUGAAAUGAUUGAAAUGGUUUCAUUGAGACGAGUGGAAACUUCCCACAAGAUCACCCUUGUAUGGUAACCAAUUCAUAUAUUGAAACAGGUUGUGUACUCGGAUUGAAUUAGACGAGGUAAUUGAGAAAUGAAGCAGGACAUGCGAAUGAAGUCAUAAAUGGUUGGAUUUUAUCACACAGAUUUUCUUUUGGUUUGUCACUUUCAAAAUA
rnacentral:misc_RNA from 1 species